rnacentral:rRNA from 1 species
CCUACGGGCGGCAGCAGUAGGGAAUAUUGCUCAAUGGGGGAAACCCUGAAGCAGCAACGCCGCGUGGAGGAUGAAGGUUUUCGGAUUGUAAACUCCUUUUGUUAGAGAAGAUAAUGACGGUAUCUAACGAAUAAGCACCGGCUAACUCCGUGCCAGCAGCCGCGGUAAUACGGAGGGUGCAAGCGUUAUUCGGAAUUACUGGGCGUAAAGAGGGCGUAGGCGGGAUAGCAAGUCAGAUGUGAAAUCCUAUGGCUUAACCAUAGAACUGCAUUUGAAACUGUUAUUCUGGAGUAUGGGAGAGGUAGGUGGAAUUCGUGGUGUAGGGGUAAAAUCCGUAGAGAUCAAGAGGAAUACUCAUUGCGAAGGCGACCUGCUAGAACAUAACUGACGCUGAUGCGCGAAAGCGUGGGGAGCAAACAGGAUUAGAUACCCCAGUAGUC